GGGAUCAUGGUGUAUCGGUCGCGCACGGGAGGCUGUGAACCUCCAAGGCCGGGUUCGAGUCCCGGUGAUCCCC
rnacentral:tRNA from 1 species